rnacentral:rRNA from 1 species
AACCUGGUUGAUCCUGCCAGUAGUCAUAUGCUUGUCUCAAAGACUAAGCCAUGCACGUCUAAGUACAAACUAAAUGAUGGUGAAACUGCAAAUGGCUCAUUACAACGGUUAUGAUGUACCCGGGAGUUCCGAUGGAUAUUUCCAGUAACACUAGAACUAAUACAUGCUCCUGCGUUUAUUAGUUUCGCACAGUCCGUCGCUGAGUCAUGGUAAACAGUUGAUCGACUCGACGUCCCGGAACAGUUUCCGCCCCAUCAGCUUCGAUGGUUGGGUAUUGGCCUACCAUAGCAACAACGGGUAACGAGGAAUUAGGGUUUGAUUUCGGAGAGGGAGCCUGAGAAACGGCUACCACAUCUACGGAUGGCAGCAGGCGCGCAAAUUACCCAAUGCAGACACUGUGAGGUAGUGACGAGAAAUAAUAAAGCGGGACUUCUGUUUCGCUAUUAUAAUGAGGAAUAACCAAAGGUCAUUCCGAUUAGCAACUGAUGGGAAAGUCUGGUGCCAACAGCCGCGGUAAUACCACCGU